AGCAUGUCCCGGCGGGGCUGUGGCUGAGCUUUCGCUGCGGCUCAGGCUCUGCGGGUGCUCGGCGCCGAGAACCCAGUGCCGCUCCCAGAUUCAGUUAAGAGUCAAAGGCUGGAGUGAAACUAAGGUGAAAAGAGUGACUUUAUAUCAAAUUUAACCAGUGAGACAAGAUGUGAAAUGAGACACCUGUACACUUCAUCAUUCUGCAUCAUGGCCAGGUUUCUCCCAGGUGGUCUCUAAAAUAUUUUUGGAUUUAUUUCUCCUCCUAACCUUCAGCAAAGAGAAGAUAAAUCAUACAAACCCAACUGAAAACAUUUCAGCUUGUCUUGUUCAGUUGUUUCCACCAGCUGUGGAAAUUCUGUGCUGGUGCCACUCUGUGCCUUGCUGUGUGCUCCUUACAGGUAGUUCAUUAAGCAAAUGAGGGCUUUGCAACAUGUUCUGGCAAUGCAUGUUAUUUUGCGUUUUCAUUUCACAUGGCAGUUUUCCUGGCAUUGUUUUGGAGAGAGUUGCCAGAGAC